UACUAGAGUAGCACUCGCAUAUCAAUAAGCGGAGGAAAAGAAACUAACAAGGAUUCCCCUAGUAACGGCGAGUGAAGCGGGAAGAGCUCAAAUUUGAAAUCUUAAAGGGUUUCCCUUUACGAAUUGUAGUUUAAAGAAGUGUUUUCUGUUGAGGUUUUGGUAAAAGUUCUUUGGAAUAGGACAUCAUAGAGGGUGAGAAUCCCGUAUUUGACCUUUACUUUCAACUUUGUGAUACACUUUCAAAGAGUCGGAUUGUUUGGGAAUGCAGUCCAAAAUGGGUGGUAAAUUUCAUCUAAAGCUAAAUAUUGGCGAGAGACCGAUAGCGAACAAGUACCGUGAGGGAAAGAUGAGAAGAACUUUGAAAAGAGAGUUAAACAGUACGUGAAAUUGUCAAAAGGGAAGCGUUUGACACCAGUGUUGUUUUUCUGAAAAUCAAUUAAAGAACUGUUUAUGCUAAGCUGUUUAGACUUUAUCAGCUAUCUGUUUAGUUUUGAGCUUUUCUUUAAUGCACUUUUCAGUUAACAAGUCAACAUCAAUUUCUUUUGCUGUAAAAAAGCUUGAGGAAGGUGGCUUGAGAUUCGUCUUAAGUGUUUAUAGCCUCUUGCCUAUGCAGUCGGAGAGAUUGAGGUCUGCAGCGUAGAUCCUUCGGGACUAAAUGCAUUUGUGCUAAGUUAUAGCAUUUUAUAGACAAUUUGUUGACUAUGAUUUGUCUUGUAGCUUACUCGCUUAUGUUAUUUUACCUACGCUUAGGAUGUUGAUCUACAGAGCGAGAGU
rnacentral:rRNA from 1 species